UACGGAGGGUGCAAGCGUUAUCCGGAUUCACUGGGUUUAAAGGGUGCGUAGGCGGACAGGUAAGUCAGUGGUGAAAUCUCUGGGCUUAACUCAGAAACUGCCGUUGAUACUAUUUGUCUUGAAUAUUCUGGAGGUAAGCGGAAUACGUCAUGUAGCGGUGAAAUGCUUAGAUAUGACAUAGAACACCGAUAGCGAAGGCAGCUUACUACAGAAUGAUUGACGCUGAGGCACGAAAGCGUGGGGAGCAAACAGG
rnacentral:rRNA from 1 species